GGGUCAUUACAUUGUGGCUCUUGACCGCCAUCGCGGAGGUUUCUGUUUAUUGUGCAUUACGAUCGCGUGGGUGGUGGUCGCAAUCGCGUAGCUGACAAGUUUUGAUAGUCGCGAUCACGAGACUCUUUAUCGCGAUAGUCAAUUAUGAGUUGAUCGGUUUAUCCAUCACAAUCCCAAGGCUUAAGGUCGCGAUCGAGAUGAAUAGUUGAUGUGUUAUCCACUAAUAUAUUCAUCUUUCGUAGUAUGUCUUUAGUCAACAAUCUGCACUGCACAGCUAACCAAAUUAUGAAUCGAUGCCUUGGUUGAGAGAUUUUGUUCCAGAUGAAUUCUGCAAUUCUCAUCUUCUUUAGACCCCUAACUUAUGAAUUGUAGCUUGCUCCUGUUGAAUAUUUUCCAUUCGCUGUCAGGACAAGCACGCCUUGUGCAUACGACUCCACCAUGUCUUUUUUUAUGGCAUUCAACUUUGUUCCCUUUCAUACGCACCCCAUGUACCCAUCGGACCCAUAAUGCAUCUUUUUUUAUGGCAUUCAACUUCUUUAAUCACGCUUUAAGGAAGUAUAAAGAUGAAUCCCCAAAAACUAUGAAUAGAGAACAAAACUGAGAUAAUCACUUGCAAUCUCCCUGCAUAUGACAAUUGCUUAGAGUAUACAAUUGUGAUUAUAUUAGUAAUCUUCUUAGUCAAUUGGUGACAAUCCAUUUUGCUCCAUUUUUUUGAAGAUAAUGGUAGCCCUAGGUACCUUAUGGGAAAAGAGCCCUGUGCAAACCACAACAAUUGAUUCCUAGUGUACUCAUCCACCCCUGCCAUGAAUAUAUGUGACUUAUCCAUAUUUGUAACUAAAGCAGUAACAGUGCUGAAGUGUUGCAAUGCCUCUAUGAUUCUAUUAACUGGUGGAACAUCUCUUUUACAAAAUAUCAUCAAAUCAUCUGCGAAUACCAAGUGUGUCAGCUUGAAUUCCUUGCAGAUUGGAUGAAAUUGGAAAUCAGGCAGCUGACUUAUACACUUCAACGUCCUGGACAAAUAUUCCAUCAGAAUCACAAACAAACGAGGCGACAUAUGAUCCCUCUGCCGUAACCCACUUCUUCCAGCAAAAUAUCUAUGUCCUUCUUCAUUCACUUUAACUGUGUACAUAAGAGUUGUGAUGCGGGCAUAACACGGUCUACAAAUCUGGGGAAAAUAAUUUUCAUGAUGUCGAGGAAAAUAGUUAUGGUGAAUGAUAACUAUGUUGAAGGGAAAUGGUUCCGGCAAUUGAGUUUAUACUGAGGGAAAAUGGUUCUGGUGGAUACAUGGACUAUGUGCGUCUCUCAUGAGUUUCAACUUGAUAUUCGGUGGAUGUUUAUCGUUAGGAUAAACAUGCAUCACUAUAUUUAACAUUUUAUUUUAUUGCAUUGCACAUUCAUUACCAUAUGUGAUCUUGUGAGUUCCUAUUGUGGAACUUGUAAUAGGUAAAGAUGAUACUUGUGUUGAUGAUUCGUAACCAGUGAAGUGUUAUUAUUGUGCUAUGUGUUAUAUAAAAGGUGAACUAUCAGAUUGAGCUGA